CUGACGAGUGGCGGACGGGUGAGUAAUGUCUGGGAAACUGCCUGAUGGAGGGGGAUAACUACUGGAAACGGUAGCUAAUACCGCAUAACGUCGCAAGACCAAAGAGGGGGACCUUCGGGCCUCUUGCCAUCGGAUGUGCCCAGAUGGGAUUAGCUAGUAGGUGGGGUAACGGCUCACCUAGGCGACGAUCCCUAGCUGGUCUGAGAGGAUGACCAGCCACACUGGAACUGAGACACGGUCCAGACUCCUACGGGAGGCAGCAGUGGGGAAUAUUGCACAAUGGGCGCAAGCCUGAUGCAGCCAUGCCGCGUGUAUGAAGAAGGCCUUCGGGUUGUAAAGUACUUUCAGCGGGGAGGAAGGGAGUAAAGUUAAUACCUUUGCUCAUUGACGUUACCCGCAGAAGAAGCACCGGCUAACUCCGUGCCAGCAGCCGCGGUAAUACGGAGGGUGCAAGCGUUAAUCGGAAUUACUGGGCGUAAAGCGCACGCAGGCGGUUUGUUAAGUCAGAUGUGAAAUCCCCGGGCUCAACCUGGGAACUGCAUCUGAUACUGGCAAGCUUGAGUCUCGUAGAGGGGGGUAGAAUUCCAGGUGUAGCGGUGAAAUGCGUAGAGAUCUGGAG
rnacentral:rRNA from 1 species